GCGCAGAUGCAGCCGUCGGGUGAAGAGAAUGGGGGCCCAACACCACCACUAAGCCCGAGUGCUACAACCACGGGUAGGGUGAACUCACUCGUCUCUUCCGCCGCCGCCGCCCAAAUGAAAGAGAGUGAGGACGGCGACCGCCGCCGCCGCAGCCCCCAAACCCACGCGAGUGAGGAGGCCGUCGGGUCAUCCCCAGGUUCUGGCGAGCCAGGAGGAAGCCAGAGUGGCUCGCCCCCGCCCCCGCCCCCGUUCCCAGAUCCGCGCCACUGGCGAGGGCGCUGGAGUGAUCUGCCUCCCGGCGGCGCUGGCCUCGCCGGUCGAAGACGACGACCUCCUGAGGGAGAUCCUCCUCCGUCUUCCGCGGCAGCCCUCCUCGCUCCUCCGGGCCUCCGCCGUCUGCAAGCAGUGGCGAUGCGCCGCCACGGACCCCAAGUUCCUCCACCGCUUCCGCCUCCAUCACCGGAAGCCGCCCCUCCUCGGCGUCUUCCACCAAGGCAAGGAUGAUUUCUUCUUCACCCCCAUCAUGGACCGUCCCGACCGAAUCCCUCGCAGCCGUUUCGACCUGCAUCUCCGCGACCGCAGCAAGGGGAUGCUCCAGCUGCUUGAUUGCCGCCACGGCCGCGUCCUCACGUUCACGUACAAUCGGCCGAAUGAGGUCAUCGUGAGCGACCCUAUCACCGGCGGGCAGCGCCGCAUAGCCCUUCCGCCAGAGUUCGUAGGAAGACGCUUCAACGGGGCUGUGCUCUGCGCUUCCGUCCACCAUGACCACAUGCACGGAAGCUGCCACUCGAGCCCCUUCAACGUCGUGUUGAUCUCUGAUAACGGAGCAUAUGAUCCACCUAUCACUUGUGUUUACUCUUCAGAGACUGGCAUAUGGGGUGAUAUCAUUUCAGCAACCGUUCCAUGUCACCUUUUUGAUGAAGGUAUCUCUGGCUUGCUUGUUGAUAAUGCACUUUACUGGUUGCUGGAAUCUAUAAGCGACGGCAUGCUUAAGUUUGAUUUGGAUGAGCAGAGCCUAGCUGUGAUUAGUGGGCCUCCCGUUAUAGAUGCUGAUUUCCCACGUGGCAGCCAUUGGAUCAUCCAGGCUGAGGAUGGUGCUGUUGGCUUCACCAUAUUGUCUUGCCCACAAUUACAAAUGUGGCAGAGGAAUAUCAAUUGCUAUGGUGUUGCCACAUGGGUGCUAUGGAAGACCAUUGACAUGUGUACAAUUCUUGGGCUCCCUAAACAGAUUCAAGGAGAGGAGGCAGACGAGAGAAAUAUACUGGGAUGCCUUGAGGAUAGUGAUGAAAUAAUUCUAUCUGUGGGCCGUGCUGCCUAUGUGGUUCAGCUUAAGUCGAUGAAGUCUAGGAAACUUUGUGAAAACGGUAGUCAUACUCUCUAUCAUUCAUUCAAAAGUUUCUAUCCUCCAGGUGAUUUUUCAUCCUUAGUCCUUGUAUUAGGAGUAACUUAAUCUUGUUGUGUUCUGUACAUGGAUGUUUGAAUACCUUCGUUGUGAUUCUCAAGUAUAACAACUUAAACUUAGUUAUCAUCCUUUUGCUAGACAAACAAGUUUAUAGAUAUAUUGCUUAAUAUAUGUUACCAUUCAAUAUAUUUGUCUUCAUGCUUCACUAUUCAUUUCCUAGAUAGACAACCUUAUGGCUUUCUUUUCUGUUAUCAGUUAAUAUAGUUGUCUUUGACCUGCAAGUGACUAGUGUAACACAUCUUUUUCUUUUUUUGCAUUUGUUGUCUCUAAUCAGGCUCUGUUUACUUAAUUUGAAUACCCAAGAUCACUUUUGCCGGUGUAGUGUUUAUGAGUUUUUGCAUGUUUCCGUUUUGUCUUCUUGAAAUGAGGAGUGAUGAGCUCUGUUUUUAAGGCGUCUGUGAAGCGUCGCCUAAGCGAUGACAAGGCGUCGAACCUGCCUUAUACAUCGUCGUAAAGCGUCCGCUUUAGAUCCUAGGGCGUCUGAAUCGUCCGCCUAGGCGCGUAGGGCGGCGCCUUGGGCCAGAUCGGACGCCAUGGGCUGCUUCCAGGCGGGAAAGAGUGGCCCACGCGGGAAGCUUUCGCGGGAAAUAUUGGGCUCGCGCGCGAGUGCGAACAGGUAAUCGUCCAAUCCACCCGAUAGGGUUUCCUUCUCUCCUCUCUGACCUUUGGCGGCGACUCCUUCCUCUACAGCUCCGAUCUGUGCCCCUCCUCGCCGGGCUCAGCUCUCCCUCCAACUCUGGCGCAACAGCAAGGUAGAUCUGUAGAUGUGCUUGGCUGCUUGCCUGCUCCUCCUCUGCAUCUGUUUGCUCCCAAAUCUGCUUCUCCAUCCACAAGGCAGCAACCCCACCAUCGCUUCUCUCCUUCCCCAUGCUUGUCUGCUUGCUCUAGUGAUUUGGCUCUUCUCUCUUUGACGGUUGAUUGGGUCUUUUCUCAGUGUUGCUGCAGCAGCGAGGUGUCCCUGCUCUGAUGGAUCCUAGGAGAAGAGCUACAUCAGAUGAUCCAGUUUGGAAGUAUGGGUUCUGGCCAGAUUUAGAGAGGAAAGAUUUACUCCAGUGUACAUUGUGUGGCAAGAUAGUCCAUGCUGGAGUGAGAAGGCUGAAGCAGCACCUUUCUUGGGGUUGUAGUGAUGCAGAUAUGUGUCCCGAGGCAUCUAUGGAGAUUAGGAUAGAGAUGCGCAAAUCCUUAAAACACUAGAAAGUUUAAAGCUAUGGAGCGAUAUAUUGAUGAGAAGGAUGAAGCUGAAGUUCAAAGGCGCCGUUCUGUCAUUUACAGAAGAUGAUUUGAGGCCUAUGAUUUGGCAACAACUAAUUAUGUUAAUGUUAAUUGUUAAAUUUCCUAAAUGGCUGCCAUCUGUUAUAUAUGUAUGUACAGUUUAUGAUGUCAAUGCUAGUAGUUAAAUCUCCUAAUUGGCUGCCAUCUAUUAUAUAUGUAUGUGUCUAAGGCGUCGCCUCGCCUUAUGCCUUAGCGCUUAGGCAGUGAGGCGCCCCCCCAGCGCCUCGCCUCGCCUUACCGCCUUAAAAACAUAGGUGAUGAGUUAAUGAGUUAAAUUGUAGGCCCUGUCUUCCUUUCUUAUAAGCUAAAUUCUUCACUAUGAGGUAGCUAUGUAUAUGUAUAUUGAUUAAAUGAAUAUUCCUUGCAAAAAGCAACAUAUGUGGUUUUAUUUCUUACCAGUAUCAGUAGUGAGUUGUACAACAUAAAUACAAGAGCAUGUUCUCUUAUAUUUGUCAAUUCAUCUAUGUAAUAAACUGACUGUUGCCUUCUCAUAUCCAUUUUUAUUUUUGAUGGAACUUUAUUAAAUGAUUGCCUUAUGCUUCCAGGCACAUCCAUUGCUGGUGGAUUUGAUGGAGCUGAAAUGAUGCAUGAUUCACAGGGUAAUUGUUUGGUUUGAUGUUCUAAUGUGCUUAAAUGGUAACAGGUAAAGAAGGGCUGCUGCAGAUGUUAGUUGUCACUGAGUUUGCCGCAUUGCAUCAACGUUGUUGGCAGUGUUUAGAUGCUAUCUAAAAUAACUUAUUAUUCUGCCCUAGUCUAGCCAUGUCUCUAGUGUAGCAAGUUGUUUUUGAAUACCUAAAUCCAGGGAAUUUCAGCUUACCCUAGCAUUGUAUCAAGUUGGAUUUCGUCAUCGCUUAUUUUUGUUAGGUGUUUGUGCAUGGUAGCUCUUCUGUUUAUCUAUGAUAGUUUCAGUCCCGUGUAUCACCAAAACUUGUGUGUUAUGAGUGUGCUUGUCAGCUGUGGUUUUGAUAAGCAUGUCUAUUUUCUUAGCUGUAAUUCUUAGUCUGAGAGUGAGUGAGGUUGCAUCUUAUUUGUAAUCCUUCUCUGCAGGACUUCCAGGGCAUUCCAACAUGUUUUAUAUGACUGAAAGCAACACGGAUUAAAUGGGAAUGCCGAGACAACAAGAAUCAGAAUUGAUUUUUUAUACUGAGAUUGAGGUUGCUGCUGCCUUGUUUCUUGUGCACUCAUGUUGAUAGAUGAAAUGUAUGAUUCUAUUUCGAUGAAUACCACCGCAGCACAGUAAUCUCAAACUUCAAUCCAGCAUGCAUGGAACAGUGGUGCACAAGUGUGUGCCAUGUAUACUGCAUGCUUUUCUGAUGAAAUUGUCUUGCAAUGAUGCAAUCUACGAUUAUCUGUCUGCUUUAGAAAAGCUCCUGUCUAUUUUGCUCUUUUCUUAAUCGCUUUAAGCCUCCCUAUAUACAAUGGAAAGCUAUAUGCUAGAUCGUGUUGGACUGCUCCGAGUAGAGUAGUUUCCUUAUUGGCAAGUGGAAGUAAACCCAUACGUGUGCUUUUUACAGUUUUAUUGACAAGCUCCAGAUUCAGAUGGAUAUCGAUUUCCACCUGGUGGCAUGCUUUCUCCCUUCCAUGCAUGUGUACCGGAGUUUUGACUAGCCGAUGUAUGUUUCUGCAGCAGGCUGGUGUUAGUUGGAUGGUAUUGUUUCAAAAUUGUUCAGGUCCAAAUGUGUUGGCAUUUACAGUAUGUUUUUUGUUUGCUUGCACUGAUAGCUUUGCUUUUUUGUUCGGGAACAAAAUAACUCGAAACGGCCUAUCUUCGGAGGAAGGAAAUGUGCCGCAUCAGUGUAGUGUAAUAGUUCUCUUUAGAUUCACGUGCUGAAAAUGCUCAACGAUCUAUGCUCAACUGCGCCUUGUUUUUUUGAACUUGCUAAUAACAAUAUCGGUUGAAGACCCUCCUGGCGUGUUUUAAUUUUGGGAGAUGACAAGGGAUGAGUUUAUAUGAGAUAAAUUCUACUAUGAAGCAGCUAAAUAUACCACUUACAGGAAUAUUACUGGCAUUUACAAUGGACAUAGUUAUGUCUGUAUAUUGCUAGUAUCAAAACUGAUCUACUCCCCCCGUCCCAUAAUAUAAGAGUGUUUUUUUGACACCUUCGUCCCAUAAUAUAAGAGCGUUUUUUGACACUAGUGAGUUAUUUUGCUCAAGUUGUAUUCGUCAGCUCAUCAGUGUACUGUCGCCUUCACUUAUCCAUUUGUAUUCGCCUUCUUAAUUGCCUGGCUUAGUGUGAUCCAGGCACGCAACCAUUGCUGGUGGAUGUAAUGAGGAAAAACAGCCUGAGCUUACUGAUAUCUGAGGAAUAAUUCAGAGGUGACAGAAGGCUAAUGGACGAAUUCAUAGCGGUGGCACGGAAGCAGCGAUUUCUUCCUGACUUGUUUUGUUAGAUGGCAGAAUGUUGUGAAAUCUGAUGUCAUAUACCCUCGUAAAUAGAAGCAUUACAUGAUCACAUUGGUACCAGAGAUAAUUUAGUCAAACAUGAUACACGCUAGGCAUGGUUGAUCUCUCUCCUGUAAAAACUCGCAAAGUUGCGAACUGUUGCAACCUGUGAUGCCAUUUCCAAGGCGAGUUGAGUUGAAACUUAAAUGCCAUAUACAAA